CCUACGGGAGGCAGCAGUGAGGAAUAUUGGUCAAUGGAGGCAACUCUGAACCAGCCAUGCCGCGUGCAGGAAGACUGCCCUAUGGGUUGUAAACUGCUUUUAUACAGGAAGAAACAGUCGUACGUGUACGACCUUGACGGUACUGUAAGAAUAAGCACCGGCUAACUCCGUGCCAGCAGCCGCGGUAAUACGGAGGGUGCAAGCGUUAUCCGGAAUCAUUGGGUUUAAAGGGUCCGCAGGCGGUCAAUUAAGUCAGAGGUGAAAUCCUACAGCUUAACUGUAGAACUGCCUUUGAUACUGGUUGACUUGAGUUAUACGGAAGUAGAUAGAAUGUGUAGUGUAGCGGUGAAAUGCAUAGAUAUUACACAGAAUACCGAUUGCGAAGGCAGUCUACUACGUAUAUACUGACGCUCAUGGACGAAAGCGUGGGGAGCGAACAG
rnacentral:rRNA from 1 species